UACAGGGGGUGCAAGCGUUGUUCGGAAUUACUGGGCGUAAAGGGCUUGUAGGUGGCCAACUAAGUCAGACGUGAAAUCCCUCGGCUUAACCGGGGAACUGCGUCUGAUACUGGAUGGCUUGAGUGUGGGAGAGGGAUGCGGAAUUCCAGGUGUAGCGGUGAAAUGCGUAGAUAUCUGGAGGAACACCGGUGGCGAAGGCGGCAUCCUGGACCAUUACUGACACUGAAAAGCGAAAGCCAGGGGAGCAAACGGG
rnacentral:rRNA from 1 species